rnacentral:ncRNA from 2 species
CAUCGCUACGGGGAUGGGGUUCCCCCGCAACCGCCCGCGUCGGGCUGAUGACUCCUAUCGAAAC